AAUACAUCGGAAUCUACUCUGUCGUGGGGGAGUAACGUAGGGAAACUUAACGCUAAUACCGCAUACGACCUACGGUGAAAGCAGGGAUCUUCGGACCUUGCGCGAUUGAAUGAGCCGAUGUCGGAUUAGCUAGUUGGCGGGGUAAAGGCCCACCAAGGCGACGAUCCGUAGCUGGUCUGAGAGGAUGAUCAGCCACACUGGAACUGAGACACGGUCCAGACUCCUACGGGAGGCAGCAGGC
rnacentral:rRNA from 1 species